GUUAAAAAGCUCGUAGUUGGAUUUCUGGGAGGGUGCCAAUGUCCGUCGACGUACGUGUUGCAGCGGCGCCUUUCCAUCCUUCUGUUAACGGCUCACGGCAUUCAUUUGCGGGUGUCGGGCUCAGAUAUUUUACCUUGAGAAAAUUAGAGUGUUUCAGGCAGGCUAGGCCGGAAUACAUUAGCAUGGAAUAAUGGAAUAGGACUACGGUCUCUUUGUUGGUUUGAGGGACUGCAGUAAUGAUUAAUAGGGAUAGUUGGGGGCAUUAGUAUUUAAUUGUCAGAGGUGGAAUUCUCGGAUUUGUUAAAGACUAACUUAUGCGAAAGCAUUUGCCAAGGAUGUUUUCAUUAAUCAAGAACGAAAGUUAGGGGAUCAAAGACGAUCAGAUACCGUCCUAGUCUUAACCAUAAACUAUGCCGACUCGGGAUCGGGGGCGCGAACUAUCCGCCUUCGGCACCGUAUGAGAAAUCAAGGUCUUUGGGUUCUGGGGGAGUAUGGUCGCAAGGCUGAAACUUAAAGGAAUUGACGGAAGGGCACCACCAGGAGUGGAGCCUGCGGCUUAAUUUGACUCAACACGGGGAAACUCACCAGGUCCAGACAUUAUAAGGAUUGACAGAUUGAUAGCUCUUUCU
rnacentral:rRNA from 1 species